rnacentral:rRNA from 1 species
UAAAACGUAGGACACAAGCGUUAUCCGGAAUUACUGGGCGUAAAGCGCCAGCAGGCGGUCGUGUAAGUCAUUGAUGAAAACGCUCGGCUCAACCGAGCGCUGUUCAGUGAUACUGCAUAACUAGAGGGAGAUAGAGGCGAGUGGAAUUCCGCGUGUAGUGGUGAAAUGCGUAGAGAUGCGGAGGAACACCAGUGGCGAAGGCGGCUCGCUGGGUCUCACCUGACGCUGAGAGGCGAAAGCAUGGGGAGCGAACGGGAUUAGAAACCCCGGUAGUCCAUGCCGUAAACGAUGUGUGCUAGAUGUGGGGACUGGGAAACCAGUUUCUGUGUCGCAGCUAACGCGAUAAGCACACCGCCUGGGGAGUACGGUCGCAAGGCUA